GGAGGAUCCGAGCGUUAUCCGGAUUUAUUGGGUUUAAAGGGAGCGCAGANGGANGNUUAAGUCAGUNGUGAAAGUUUGCGGCUCAACCGUAAAAUNGCAGUUGAUACUGGAUAUCUUGAGUGCAGUUGAGGCAGGCGGAAUUCGUGGUGUAGCGGUGAAAUGCGUAGAUAUUAGGAGGAACAUCAGUGGCGAAGGCGGCCUGCUGGGCUUUUACUGACGCUGAGGCUCGAAAGCGUGGGGAGCAAACAGGAUUAGAUACCCUGGUAGUCCACGCUGUAAACGAUGAUUACUAGGUGUCGGGUGGCAAAGCCAUUCGGUGCCGCAGCCAACGCAAUAAGUAGUCCACCUGGGGAGU
rnacentral:rRNA from 1 species